UCCCUGAUGGCUCAGUUGGUAAAGAAUCCGCCUGAAAUGCGGGAGACCUAGGUUCAAUUCCUGGGUCGGGAA
rfam:TPA: Bos taurus chromosome 23, whole genome shotgun sequence.